GCCUGGGUAGCUCAAUGGCAGAGCAAUGGUUUUGUAAACCAUAGGUUGGGGGUUCAAGUCCUCUCCCAGGCU
rnacentral:tRNA from 2 species